AAAAACAUUGUCUUAUGAACAAAAUAUUAGAUAAUACCUGCCCAGUGACAGUAUGUUCAACGGCCGCGGUAUCCUAACCGUGCAAAGGUAGCAUAAUCAUUUGCCUAUUAAUUGUAGGCUGGAAUGAAGGGGUUAACGAAAUAAAAGCUGUCUCAAUUAAUUAACUAAAAAUUAUUUUCUAUCUGAAGAAAGGUAGAUAAUCUCGAAGGACAAGAAGACCCUAUAGAGCUUAAUUUUAUUAUAGAACUAUACUAUAUAAAUAUUCGGUUGGGGCGACCCAGGGCUAAUUAAUCACCCAUUAAAUAAAAGAUAUAUAAAUCUAAUAAAUGACCCUUUAAAGAUCAUAAAACAAGCUACCUUAGGGAUAACAGGCUAAUCCCACUUAAGAGUCCUUAUCAAUAGUGGGGUUUGGCACCUCGAUGUUGGCUUAGGGUAUCUCUAUAGCGCAAAAGCUAUAUAGAGAUGGUUUGUUCAACCAAUAAUUCCCUACGUGAUCUGGUU
rnacentral:rRNA from 1 species